ensembl:lncRNA
CUCUAGGUCCUCUACACAGAGUGGCCCCCUCUAGGUCCUCAACACAGACUGGCCCCCUCAACACAGACUGACCCCCUCUAGGUCCUCAACACAGACUGGCCCCCUCUAGGUCCUCAACACAGACUGGCCCCCUCUAGGUCCUCAACACAGACUGGCCCCCUGUGGGUUCUCUACACAGAGUGGCCCCCUCUAGGUCCUCUACACAGAGUGGCCCCCUCUAGGUCCUCUACUCAACAUCAACAGAGGACCCUCUGGUCCCUGUCGGACCCCCACGGACCCUCUGGUCCCUGUCGGACCCCCACGGACCCCCACAGACCCUCUGGUCCCUGUCGGACCCCGCCGGACCCCCACAGAGCCACCAGGUCCUCUCAGAAGGACGACCCCC